rnacentral:rRNA from 1 species
GACGUAGGGUGCAAGCGUUGUCCGGAUUUACUGGGCGUAAAGAGCGCGUAGGCGGCUCGUUAAGUGAGAAGUGAAAGCUCUUGGCUCAACCAAGAAACCGCUUUUCAUACUGGCGAGCUGGAGUGAUGCAGAGGUGGAUAGAAUUCCCGGUGUAGCGGUGAAAUGCGUAGAUAUCAUGAGGAAUACCAGAGGCGAAGGCGGCUACCUGGACAAUUGCUGACGCUCAGGCACGAAAGCGUGGGGAGCAAAAGGG